GGUCAGUAGUCCAUCACUAAUGUUUGAAAUAUUUCAGAGAUUGUCGACGACAACUCUAUAGUGAGAGCCGAUUUCAUUCAGCAGCUUCUUCCAUCUGCGGAGCGAACGGCUCUCCUUUAUCGCCUGACUUUCCUGAGUCUGGGAGGAUUCCCAAAGCUGGAGCGUCUGAUCAGAAAUCAAGCUAUUGAAACACAACUGCUGUUCGGAUCCUCUGAAGCUGUUCUGCUGAAGCUGUUUGGACUCUCAUUCUGAUGGCACCCAUUCACUGCAGAGGAUCCACUGUGAAAUUUCUGUGUGGGCGGGGAUACUCAACAUAAUGCUGCAGGAACAGAAAACAAGCAACAGACAAAACGUAGCGCUACUCGGUGUUAGGACCUGGUUUAACAGAAACCUCAACAGAAAACAGUCGGCUAAAUAAUAUUUUAGCAUUAAUUGUAUUAGAGUCUGAUUAGAUGGCAACAAUGUCAACAUUUUAUUUGAUGUCAACAACAAAAGAUUCAGUAGCCAGUUUUCAGUCACAUGAUCCUUCAGAAAUCAGUCUAAUACGCUGAUUUGCUGCUCACUUCUUUUUAUUAUCAAUAUUGAAAACAAUUGUGCUACUUAAUAUUUUUGUAGAAACCAUGGAACAUAUUUUUCUAGAUUGUUUGAUGAAUAGAAAGCUCAAAUGAACAGCAUUUAUUUGAAUCCAAAGUCUUUUUUAACAUUAUAAAUGUCUUUACUGUCACUUUUGAUAAAUUUAAUGCAUCCUUCUGCUGAAUAGAAGUAUUAAUUUGUUUUAAAAAAUGUUACUGACCCCGAACUUUUUAAAUGUUAAGCCUCACAGAAAGUUAACUCGGAUAAAUCCUGACUUCUGACAAUUUAUUUCCUGUGAAAGUCCCACAUAGUUUGCACGCACGC